UACGUAGGGUGCAAGCGUUAAUCGGAAUUACUGGGCGUAAAGCGUGCGCAGGCGGCUUUGCAAGACAGAUGUGAAAUCCCCGGGCUUAACCUGGGAACUGCAUUUGUGACUGCAUGGCUGGAGUGCGGCAGAGGGGGAUGGAAUUCCGCGUGUAGCAGUGAAAUGCGUAGAUAUCGGAAGGAACACCAGUGGCGAAAGCGGCUUCCUGGUCCAGCAUCGACGUUCAGGCACGAAAGCGUGGGGAGCAAACAGG
rnacentral:rRNA from 1 species